rnacentral:rRNA from 1 species
GACGAACGCUGGCGGCGUGCCUAAUACAUGCAAGUUGAGCAAUGAAGAUUGGUGCUUGCACCAAUUUGAAGAGCAGCGAACGGGUGAGUAACGCGUGGGGAAUCUGCCUUUGAGCGGGGGACAACAUUUGGAAACGAAUGCUAAUACCGCAUAACAACUUUAAACAUAAGUUUUAAGUUUGAAAGAUGCAAUUGCAUCACUCAAAGAUGAUCCCGCGUUGUAUUAGCUAGUUGGUGAGGUAAAGGCUCACCAAGGCGAUGAUACAUAGCCGACCUGAGAGGGUGAUCGGCCACAUUGGGACUGAGACACGGCCCAAACUCCUACGGGAGGCAGCAGUAGGGAAUCUUCGGCAACGGACGAAAGUCUGACCGAGCAACGCCGCGUGAGUGAAGAAGGUUUUCGGAUCGUAAAACUCUGUUGGUAGAGAAGAACGUUGGUGAGAGUGGAAAGCUCAUCAAGUGACGGUAACUACCCAGAAAGGGACGGCUAACUACGUG